rnacentral:rRNA from 1 species
UGGGCGUACAGGGCUCGCAGGCGGUUUCUUAAGUCUGAUGUGAAAGCCCCCGGCUCAACCGGGGAGGGUCAUUGGAAACUGGGAAACUUGAGUGCAGAAGAGGAGAGUGGAAUUCCACGUGUAGCGGUGAAAUGCGUAGAGAUGUGGAGGAACACCAGUGGCGAAGGCGACUCUCUGGUCUGUAACUGACGCUGAGGAGCGAAAGCGUGGGGAGCGAACAGGAUUAGAUACCCUGGUAGUCCACGCCGUAAACGAUGAGUGCUAAGUGUUAGGGGGUUUCCGCCCCUUAGUGCUGCAGCUAACGCAUUAAGCACUCCGCCUGGGGAGUACGGUCGCAAGACUGAAACUCAAAGGAAUUGACGGGGGCCCGCACAAGCGGUGGAGCAUGUGGUUUAAUUCGAAGCAACGCGAAGAACCUUACCAGGUCUUGACAUCCUCUGACAACCCUAGAGAUAGGGCUUUCCCUUCGGGGACAGAGUGACAGGUGGUGCAUGGUUGUCGUCAGCUCGUGUCGUGAGAUGUUGGGUUAAGUCCCGCAACGAGCGCAACCCUUGAUCUUAGUUGCCAGCAUUCAGUUGGGCACUCUAAGGUGACUGCCGGUGACAAACCGGAGGAAGGUG